CAUGCCCGGGCUCCAGAGCACGUUCCUUGCCAUGGAUACGGAGGAGGGUGUGGAGGCAGUGUGGAAUGAACUGCAGUUCACCGACAAGAAGGCUUUCAAGGCGCAAGAGGAGAAGAUCAAGACCAUGUUUGAGCAGCUGGUGGUCGUUGACCACCCCAACAUCGUGAAGGUGCACAAAUACUGGCUGGAUGUGAAUGAAAGCCAAGCCCAGGUGAUCUUCAUCACCGAGUACGUCUCGUCCGGAAGCCUGAAGCAGUUCCUUAAGAAGACCAAGAAGAACCACAAAGCCAUGAGCGCCAGGGCUUGGAAACGCUGGUGCACCCAGAUCCUCUCAGCUCUCAGCUACCUGCACUCCUGCGACCCCCCCAUCAUCCACGGGAACCUUACCAGUGACACCAUCUUCAUCCAGCACAAUGGGCUCAUCAAAAUUGGAUCAGUUUGGCACCGAGUUUUUGCAAAGGCCAUCCCACCUGAGCUCCACAGCCCUGCCCGCACAGAGCGGGAAGACCCGCGGAACUUGCACUUCUUCCCACCGGAGUAUGGACAUUCAGCAGAUGGCCCGGCGGUGGACAUUUUCUCCUUCGGGAUGUGCGCUCUGGAGAUGGCCGUGCUGGAGAUCCAGUCCAACGGGGACACCUCCGUGACCAAGGAGGCGAUCGAACAAGCCAGGCACUCUUUGGAUGACCCCAACAUGCGGGAAUUCAUCCUGGGGUGCCUCCUCCCGAAUCCAGACAAGCGGCCAACGGCUCACAACCUGCUGUUCCACCGGGUCCUUUUUGAGGUCCACUCCCUGAAGCUUCUGGCUGCCCACUGCUUCAUCACCCACCAGUACUUGUGGCCUGAGAACGUGGUGGAGGAGAAAACCAAGGAGCUGGAUCUCAGUGAAGUGAUGGCAGAGAUUCAGCGGGCAGGGCGGCUGCCUGUGCAGUGGAGAUAUUCAGAGGUCUCUUUCCUGGAAUUGGACAAAUUCUUGGAGGAUGUCAGGAAUGGCAUUUACCCUUUGAUGAACUUUGCCACCAUCCGGCCCCACACACUGCCGCGCUCCAGUUCCCAGCCCCUGGAAGACCCCCAGAAAGUCCAAACCCCCACACCGGAGCCUUUUGAUGUAGAGACGCGGAAGGUGGUGCAAAUGCAGUGCAACAUGGAGUGGCAGGAGGAACAGCAGCAGUGGCACGUACGUAUGGCUCAGAAUUUGUGGGCUCUGCUGGCAGAGGAGGACCAGGCCAGGCAUCCCUGGGAGCGGCCUGCAUUUAAGGUGCCGUUUGGGCCAGUUGGCUGCAAGUUGCCAGCGGGGGGUGGGGGCUGUGAACAGCUAAGGAUAGGGAGGGUGGUCCCCGCCUCACGUUCAGAUGAGCUGAGGGCAGGGAGGUCUGGGGCUGUCCCCCCAGGACCAAGCUCAGCUUUGGGGAGGGUCUGUGGCAGGGUAAAUGCUGGGCUGGAGGGCCUUUGGGUCUGGGGCCACACAGCUCCUAGUACCCUCUCGGGUGAGACGAAAAUCAUUUUAAGAAGCUGGCUUAUUUUUGAAAUUGUGCUCAAAACAACAAGGACUACUUCUCCAGCGUAUAUUCAUUUUCCCAAGAAUGCUUCCUUAGCAGUUUGAUGAGUAGAUCCUGGAAGUACCGGGCUUUUCUUCAUCUGCCCAAGAGGGGCACAUUUCAUGCCGGUCUGUGCCUCCCUAACAGCUGACCCUCCUCCUCAUCCUGGAAGACAGGCUCCACCGCCAGCUGAGCUAUGACCUGCUUCCAAUCACCCCACAGGAGGCCCCAAAGCCCGC